UACGUAGGGAGCGAGCGUUGUCCGGAUUUACUGGGUGUAAAGGGUGCGUAGGCGGGGCAGCAAGUCAGGCGUGAAAUACCGAGGCUUAACUUCGGAGCUGCGCUUGAAACUGUCGCUCUUGAGUGAAGUAGAGGCAAGCGGAAUUCCUAGUGUAGCGGUGAAAUGCGUAGAUAUUAGGAGGAACACCAGUGGCGAAGGCGGCUUGCUGGGCUUUAACUGACGCUGAAGCACGAAAGCAUGGGGAGCAAAC
rnacentral:rRNA from 1 species